GCUGGGCCCAUAACCCAGAGGUCGAUG
rnacentral:piRNA from 4 species